GCAUGGGUGGCUCAGUGGGUUAAGCAUCUGACUUUGGCUCAGGUCAUGAUCUUGUGGUUUGUGAGUUCAAGUCCCACAUCAGGCU
rnacentral:tRNA from 1 species